GAUGAUAACGGGACAACUGGUGAAACAACUGUUGAAACAACUACAGUUGAAUAAUUAAACUCUCAUCCUCUGAACUGUGGAAGCUCACUGACUGCAGAGCCAACCCCACAGUGGAAUCCUGUUGCUAUGACAACAACAACAUCAGCAGCAACAACAACAAGCUAAACUGCAACUUAACUUCAACCUUCAGCUUCCUGUUUGUUUCCUCCGCUCGUUCCUGAUUGGUCGUCUCCGUCCUACUUCAACCUCUGGCUUUGGUUUCAAGACUGUGUGUCUGGGUGUCUGUCUGCCUUCAGUCUGUCUGUCUGUGUGUCUGUGUUCACGCAGACCAGCUGCUAAUAAAGUUUAAACUGUCAAAACACA